rnacentral:tRNA from 1 species
GAGGGUACAGCUCAGUGGUAGAGCGUAUGCUUAGCAUGCACGAGGUCCUGGGUUCAAUUCCCAGUACUGCCA